GUGGCAGCACUUAUACGAAAAUUGGAAAUACAGAGAGUUUGGGCAUGGUCCCUGCACAAGGGUGAUGUACACAUUCAUAAAGAAUAAUUUCAGGAGCUAGAUCAGCUAGAAGAUGGCUAACUGCCGGGGGAAGAUGCAGAGCGAGACUGGCACUCAGUGAUCCGAAGGCUCUGCUCACCCUUGUCCAUCCGUUUUCUCCAGAGUACCUUCGUGCUUUGUAGAAAAGGCAGACCUGAUUAGUAUAAGUCACAAGUAACACAACAAAAUCAUCAUUUCCAGACUUCGGCAGGAUAUUUGCUUUCCCGUCAUUUUCCUAUCAACCGUCACACUGAACUUCGGUUUUUGAGUCAAAGAAUGUUGAUAAAGGGAAAAGAAAACAGAAGUUACAUAAAAUCGUUUGGAGUCUUGGGUUCGUGAUGUACAAAUUCACGAGAUGAACCUACUCAAAGGCUGUCUUUGAAAUCUCAGAAUAAAAAGUGUUAUCUUGUGCCAUUAAAAUCUGAAUUUAGAGACCGCAAAUCAGAGAACACUCAAAUGAUAGACAGUCUUGGGAAGUCUAGGACAGUAAAGGAUACUGGUCAUCUGCACCUGGUCUCUUAACCAUCCUCUGUGGCUUUCCCAAGCCCACGAGUGAGGCUCUCACACCUGCGAUUCCUGUGACAGAACCAGAAGGAUCCAAGAAGAUUUGAUAGAAAGCACACCUGCGCACAUGUGCAGGGGGGAGGGGCUGAGCGAGAGAAUCUUCAGCCUCCCCCGAGCCCAGAGCCCCACACAGCUGGACCCCAUGACCCUUGAGAUCAUGAGGUUGAAGUCAACAUGACCGACAGUUAAAUGAGGAAGAAGAAUGUAAAAUGGCAUCAUCAUGGACAAGACAGAACCCGCAGACAAGAGCCGGCACCUAGGAGGAUGGGCAGGAACCUGUAUGCAGCUCCAUGGUUCAGCUUGUCUUCUACUCCAAGAUGCCUUUUGGGUUCAGAGGGAUGCAGUGGAAACUCCCACCCCCUGAACAUCCUUCCUGGAGGUUUACAUACAAUAUAUAGCCCAGACAGAGCAGGAAUAGCACGCUGGGAAAUAAGCUUGCACUGAAAUACAGGAGUAUGGCAAGAGUGCCCUCAGGCAAAGAGAAUGUGGCUUUUUGAGAAAAGGAUCCAAUUUGGGAAGUAGGAAAGGCGCUUCCCGGGCCACACAGAGAGCAUACAUAUCGUGAAUGUAUCCAACUGAGCUGUUAUACUGAACAAAGCAACUGAACUUGGGAAGUGCUUCUCUCUGUGCCGGCUUCCCCCCAAAAAGGAAAUAAAUUGGAGUGGUCUUUUCGUGGACUGAGCGUGGCCGUGGUGGGGGCCGUGAGAGUCCAGAAGGCCAGGAUUGGAGUUCCAUUUUCCUAACAAAUGGGUAAUCUGUCCUCAAUCCGAAUUGGUUGAACACUACAGCCUUCAUUGUUUCCAUGUCAUUUAAUGCCCAUAAAAAUGAAUUCACUGGAAUUCAAUGGCUGUCGGCUCAGAAUGUUUGCAGUGUGUUCCUGCUGGACUCCAGGACCGAUCGGUUCGGUUUUUUGUUAAUUUGCUUUCUCUGAAAGAACAUUAGCCCAAGAAUAAAGAAAGUAGAGAGGAUACUCAGGAUUCCAUCACAAAUUAAAUUAUUUUCAAAUUUCUUUCCACUCCAAGCUCACAUACUAAUUUUAUACAGCUAUCAUCAAUGCUUUCAUACGGUUAUGUUAACCAUGUAUUUUGUAAUGAUAUUUAGUGGGUACAUAAUAUUACAUCAGGUCGAUUAAGCAGUUUCCUUAAGCAUUCUGUCAUCCCGGGGAGUGCAGAGUGAAGCUGUUUCUACUGAAACAAAUGAUUAAAAUUAACCUGUUGUUUAAUAGGAAUGCAAAUGGAGUGUUCUCCAUUGCCUUUUUUUUUUUUUUUUUUUGAGAGAGGGAGCGCGCGCACACAAGAGAGGGGAGAGAGACACAGAGAGUCUCAAGCAGAAUUCCUGCUGAGGGCAGAGCCCUGACAAGGGGCAGGAUCUCAGGACCUAUACCAGAAUCAAGAGUUGGAGGUUUAACUGUCUGAGCCCCCCAGACCCCCUGCCAUUUAUUUUCACAGAAAUUCCAAACAGUGGUCAAAUGCUGUGUACUUUUCUGAUGACCCACUACGAAUUUCCAAAUAUGUAGGUAUAUCUUUCUGAAGGACUUGAGCAUCAUUUACAAACAUCACAUCUCUUUUUCCACAAAUAAAGUCCGAGGCUAUUUCCUGAAUAUGGUUUUUUUCACAUGCCAUCACAAUAUAUCAAAACCAGGAUACUUAACUCAGAUCCAAGACUCUCAUGUAUGCUACCGUUCCUAUUCCAACGUUACCAGUUGUGCUAAUAAUGUCCUCCAUCACAAUUUUUUCUUGGCCCAAGCCCAGUUCAGAAUCACAUUGUUAGGUACCUUCAUUUGCCUUUGAUAUGAAACCAUUUUCAUGCCUUUGUCUUUCAUGACCUUGUUGAAGGACAAUUACGUUACAGAACGUCCUUCAACGUGUAUUUGCCUGAUGUUUCCUUGUGACUGGAUCCAGGUGAUGCAUUUUUAGAAGGAACGCCCCAGCCAUGAUGCUGUGUCUUCCCACUGCAUUAUUUUACAAGCUGUCAGCUUGUCCAUUGGUUAGUGAUGCUAAGUUGGUCAUUUCAUUAGAUGGUGUCUACCAGUUUUCUUCCCUCUAAAGUUACUAUUUUUUCUUUUGUGAUUAACAAGUAAUUUGAGGGAGAUACUUUAAGAUUAUGUAAAUAUUCUGUUCAUUAAUAUUUUACCCACUGUAUUUAGCAUCUAUUAAUGAUACUUGCCUGCAUCAAUCAUGACUGUGAUGGUUGCCAAAAAGUGAUUUUUAUAAUAAACCAUUAUUUCUAUAUUUAUUAGUCUUCUGCUCGACAUGACACCUUUCUCUUUCCCAACAUUCAUUUAUUUCUAUCAGUACGGACUUGUAUUUGCUUAUUUAAUUCAGUGCAUGUUUUGUUACUAUCGAUCAUGUUAUGCGCAGAUUGUUCCAGAUGUUGCCUGUAGGGAGCCCCUGCAAAUGGACGCCUGACAAAUCCCCGUAAUACUUUAAACACUGAUUUACUUUUUGGCACAAGAUGCUUUAGGCUUAUCCUGAAGUUUCUCUAUCUCCUCCAAGAAUCCUUGAUUCCUUUAGUGAGUAUUGGCAUGUAGAAACCAGGGCCUGUGGGCUUGGUCAGAAGAGUAAAAAUCUGUGACCUUUGACCCAUGACCCAUGCACGUGCCCUCAGCUCCAUGUGGAAAAAGCACUACUCUGUGCGGCAGCUGAAAAUACGAGGUUUCCCCUUCCUGUAGCUCACAGGCUAGGACUAGAGUUCUUUACAAAAGGGGUGAGUCACUAGCAUUGCUGAUUUCUUUUAGCUCCAGAUGGCAGAAGCUGUUUUCCUAAAAGACAUAGCUGAGGACCAGGCUCCCUUAUCCCCACAUAGGAUGGAAGCCCUGCUCCGAUUGUAGCAACCCAAGCAUGACUGGCCCUAAUUGUCUUUGCCCCAGCUGACUCUUAAGAUGGACUUUUUGUGCUGCGGGAAGAACCCAAGCCAACAAGAUUAUACAAGGAGGUUACACAAGCCAUCCAGCACCUGCUUUUAGAGCAAGGGAUCACACAGGAGAAGGGAGCCACUGUCCUUACCCGCAGCUCCUAAACAAAAUGACAGGUUCUGUAGAUGAGGGACUCUGCUUUUCUGCCCCAGGGGACUUGUUUGGGAAAGAAUAUGGAGCUAUCCAAACUUAAAGAGAUCAACCAAACAAUGGGGAUCUUGGUGGAGUAUUUAACUAGGGAGCAAAUAGCUCCAUGAUCAUGGUAGCAAACUGAUGGGGGCACUUAGAAAUUGAACAGAAUCAAGGCAAGACAUAGACAUUAAGAGCCAUCCUGGUUUCCUGUUCAACUCCGAGGGUCCAGAGGGCUGUGCGGGAGUGCUUGGUGGUACCCACUCAGGGGAAAUUAAAACAGUUUGACGCAGAGCUAAGCAAAAAUAGUCCCCAAGCCACAUAACUGUCAGCAAAGGACAGAAGCCUCACUGUCACUAGAGGAUCCAGUUUAGGCUCUAACCAAACACUGGCUGAACAGUAAGCCACCCAGGGGAACCCAUAGGAAACUGGGCUUAAUAAUAAAACCACAGCCAUCCCUGGUGGUCUUGGAAUAUUGCAGGCAUGCCCAAGAGUGUGCCCUUCCAGGAGUGAUUGGAGAGGGAUGUCCAAAGUGCUAAUCCCUGUCUGAACAUGGGACAAAGAACUAAACUUGAACUAUGGUAGGAACCUCUAAGCUAUACACACAUAGAAUGGUGAGGGCUAAAAUCUAGCUGGCCAAGAGAGCUUGAGCACAGACGCUGCGCAAAGUGUGGCUUAUGCUGACCGAGGGGUAAUGUCUAAGUAGCACUGGACAAAAUCCAAUACUUUUCAGACUAAAAUGUAAAAUUAAAAAUCGGAGUACAGACUAAACAUUAUAGAUAUCUUGGACAUCCAAGAUGUUCACAGGACAAAAAUACCAUGUUUAAAGAAUUAAAGGAAGAUAUGACUAUGUCUCAAGAAAAUAGAACUUACUGAAAAGCAAUAAACGGAAAUUCUGGAGUUGAAAAGUAUAACACAACUUGAGAACUCACUAGAAGAAAAGACCAUGUCAGGAGAAUGAGAAGACAAGCCCCAGGCAGGGAGAGAAUGUUUGCAAAAGGCACACCUGAGAAAGGACUGUUAUCCAAGAUAUACAAAGAACUCAACGAUAUAUACAACAGCAGUAAGAAAACCAUCUGAUUAAAAAGUAAGACCCAGACAUCUCACCAAAGAAGAUACACAGAUGGCAAGUAAACAUGUGAGAAGAUGUUCCACAUCAUACGUCCUCGGGGAGUGCGCCACAUCCAAAACACUGACCACACCCAGUGCUAAUGAGGACAGGGAGUACCCAAACUCUUAUUCGUUGCCGACUAGAAUGGAAAAUGGUAUAGACAAUUUGGGAGAGUUUGGCAACUUCUUCCAAAACUAAACAUCCUUAUAAUAAGUUCCAAGCAGCCUACUCCUCGGUAUUUUCCCCAAAGGAGCUGAGAGCUAUGUCCCAACA